UACAGAGGGGGCAAGCGUUGUUCGGAAUUACUGGGCGUAAAGGGCGCGUAGGUGGCCUUCUAAGUUGAACGUGAAAUCCCUGGGCUCAACCCAGGAACUGCGUCCAAGACUGGGAGGCUUGAAUCCGGGAGAGGGAUGCGGAAUUCCAGGUGUAGCGGUGAAAUGCGCAGAUAUCAGGAGGAACACCGGUGGCGAAGGCGGUUCUCUGGGCCUGUACUGACGCUGAGGAACGAAAGCGUGGGGAGCGAACAGG
rnacentral:rRNA from 1 species